rfam:Trametes pubescens strain FBCC735 TRAPTBscaffold_337, whole genome shotgun sequence.
GCUCUCGUCGUCUAAUGGCUAUGAUAUCAGAUUCCUAUAGCUCGUGCAGAUGAUCCGUGGGCACGAUCUGAAGGUUCCGGGUUCGAGUCCCGGCGGGAGUA